CCAGACUCCUACGGGAGGCAGCAGUGGGGACUCUUGCACAAUGGGGGCCCCCCUGAUGCCGCGCCGCCGCGUGCCGGCCGAAGUAUCUCGGUAUGUAAACUUCUCUCAGCAGGGCAGCAACCAGACGAUCCCUGACUAAGAAGCCCCGGCUAACUACGUGCCAGCAGCCGCGGUAAUACGUAGGGGGCAAGAGUUAUCCGGAUUUACUGGGUGUAAAGGGGGCGCAGACGGCCAUGGCAAGCCCGGUGUGAAAGGCAGGGGCAUAACCGCUGGACUGCACUGGGAACUGUCAGGCUGGAGUGCCGGAGGGGUGAGCGGAAUUCCUGGUGUAGCGGUGAAAUGCGUAGAUAUCAGGAGGAACACCGGCGGCGAAGGCGGCUUACUGGACGGCAACUGACGUUGAUGCCCGACAGCGUGGGGAGCGAACAGGAUUAGAUCCCCUCGUA
rnacentral:rRNA from 1 species